GACGAACGCUGGCGGCGUGCCUAAUACAUGCAAGUAGAACGCAGUUGCGAGCGGGUAAGUACCGCGUAGGUACCGGCAUCGUGGCGGGGGAUCACUAUUGGGACCGAUAUCUCAUACCGCCUACUUUGGUAUGAUCCUCCGUUGUAUUAGUUAGUUGGUGAGGUAAAGGCUCAACAAGGCGACGAUACAUAGCCGACCUGAGAGGGGGAUCGACAACAAGGGGAAUGAGAGACGGCUCAGACUCCUACGGGAGGCAGCAGUAGGGAAUCUGCGGAAAUGGACGGAAGUCUGACCGAGCAAAGCCGCGGGAGUGAAGAAGGUUUUCGGAUCGUAAAGCUCUGUGGUUAGAGAAGCGUUAACUAACCAGAAAGGGACGGCUAACUACGUGCCAGCAGCCGCGGUAAUUC
rnacentral:rRNA from 1 species